UGGCGGGGAAACAUGGCUCCUUCCCUCGGGGGCUUAAGGCCUGAGGGAGAUGGUCUCCCUGACUGCAGAGAGAUGAGACCCCACCUAGAGAGAGGAGGAAGGGACACCAGGAAGAACGGAGGGAGGCCCAGCGGAGGAACAGAGGAAGGCACAGCCCGGCAAAGGCCUGGCAGCCGCAACGCCAAAUCUCAAGAGUGCUCCGAAGGGCUCUUACCGAGGGCCGUGCACGUUAGACGUUAGACCUGGCACUGCUCCUGGGGUUUCUGUCCUCGGGGCUGUUACAGGAGGGGGCCCACCACAAGGUCACAUUCUCCUCUCCUCUCUUUUUGACUUCAGAAUUACGCCAAAGACCCUUUCCAAUUUGACCGAGGAUGGCUCAACCCACCUACAGGACACAGGCCUCCUAUUGGCAACCGGAUGUGGCCGAAAGAGUCCUGAGCUGGGAGGUCAAGACCCAGUUCUAGCCUAGCCCCAAGCCCCAGUUUCCCUUUCUUUAAAAUGAGAGCGUUGAACAUGAGUCCCAAAUUCCCCUUGACUCUGACAUUGUAGGAUAUUUGGAGACUCUAGUGGUGGAAUAAAUCUCAGACACUGUAA